rnacentral:rRNA from 1 species
AUUGAACGCUGGCGGCAUGCUUUACACAUGCAAGUCGAACGGCAGCGCGGGCUUCGGCCUGGCGGCGAGUGGCGAACGGGUGAGUAAUAUAUCGGAACGUACCCAGGAGUGGGGGAUAACGUAGCGAAAGUUACGCUAAUACCGCAUACGUCCUAAGGGAGAAAGUGGGGGAUCGCAAGACCUCAUGCUCAUGGAGCGGCCGAUAUCUGAUUAGCUAGUUGGUGGGGUAAAGGCUCACCAAGGCAACGAUCAGUAGCUGGUCUGAGAGGACGACCAGCCAAACUGGAACUGAGACACGGUCCAGACUCCUACGUGAGGCAGCAGUGGGGAAUUUUGGACAAUGGGGGCAACCCUGAUCCAGCAAUGCCGCGUGAGUGAAGAAGGCCUUCGGGUUGUAAAGCUCUUUUGUCAGGGAAGAAUAAGCGUGGGAGGGAAUGCCCGCGCGAUGACAUGAACCGGCGAAUAAGCCCCGGCUAACUACGUGCCAGCAGCCGCUGUAAUAC